CCUACGGGUGGCAGCAGUAGGGAAUCUUUCACAAUGGGCGAAAGCCUGAUGGAGCAACGCCGCGUGCAGGAUGAAGGCCUUCGGGUUGUAAACUUCUUUUAUAAGCGAGAAAUAUGAUGGUAACUUAUGAAUAAGGAUCGGCUAACUACGUGCCAGCAGCCGCGGUCAUACGUAGGAUCCGAGCAUUAUCCGGAGUGACUGGGUGUAAAGAGUUGCGUAGGUGGCAUAAUAAGUAGCUAGUGAAAUCUGGUGGCUCAACCAUUCAGACUAUUAGCUAAACUGUUAAGCUCGAGACCGUUAGGGGUAACUGGAAGUUCUAGUGUAGGAGUGAAAUCCGUAGAUAUUAGGAGGAACACCAAUAGCGUAGGCAGGUUGCUGGGACGGUUCUGACACUAAGGCACGAAAGCGUAGGGAGCAAACGGGAUUAGAUACCCGAGUAGUC
rnacentral:rRNA from 1 species